rnacentral:sRNA from 1 species
AUCUGACAAUUGACGCGAGCCGUUCUGCAUAUUCCGCAGCUUUCUCGCGAUCGGA